GUCAGAUGGUUACACUCAGCAUCUCAGGGAAAGGGAAGUAUGGGAGGGUGAGGGUAGGAGCAGCCUGAAAGAGAGCAUGACUCUUUGGCCUUGUUAUCCUGCAGCUUCCUCAAUAUCUGGUGCCAUCUCAUCUUGGAAGAUGCCUCUGUGGCUCCUUUCUUACUCUGACCUUGGACUCUCAAUUCAUCAACAUUUCCAAUCCCCAGAACCUCAUGUCUAUUCUACCUCAACUGCAUAUAAGAUGCUGAAUAAUGCCAGGUGA
rnacentral:lncRNA from 1 species